AACGUAGGAGACAAACGUUAUCCGGAGUUACUGGGCGUAAAGGGCGUGCAGGCGGUCUGUUAAGUCUGGCGUGAAAGCUCUCGGCUAAACCGGGAGAGGUCGUUGGAUACUGGCAAACUAGAGGACGGUAGAGGCGUGUGGAAUUCCGGGUGUAGUGGUGAAAUGCGUAGAGAUCCGGAGGAACACCAGUGGCGAAGGCGACACGCUGGGCCGUACCUGACGCUAAAGCGCGACAGCAUGGGGAGCAAACGGG
rnacentral:rRNA from 1 species